rnacentral:rRNA from 1 species
AGAGUUUGAUCCUGGCUCAGAUUGAACGCUGGCGGCAUGCUUUACACAUGCAAGUCGAACGCGAAAGGGGGCAACCCCGAGUAGAGUGGCGAACGGGUGAGUAAUGCAUCGGAACGUGUCCUGUUGUGGGGGACAACCCCGAGAAAUCGGGGCUAAUACCGCAUACGUCCUAUGGGAGAAAGUGGGGGACCGCAAGGCCUCACGCUAUAGGGGCGGCCGAUGCCGGAUUAGCUAGUUGGUGGGGUAAAGGCUCACCAAGGCGACGAUCCCUAGCUGGUCUGAGAGGAUGAUCAGCCACACUGGGACUGAGACACGGCCCAGACUCCUACGGGAGGCAGCAGUGGGGAAUUUUGGACAAUGGGCGCAAGCCUGAUCCAGCCAUGCCGCGUGAGUGAAGAAGGCCUUCGGGUUGUAAAGCUCUUUCGGCCGGGACGAAAUCGCUCCCUUUAACAUGGGGAGUGGAUGACGUACCGAAGAAGAGCCCCCA